GGCGGGAAGCCAAGGAGGCCAUCCGGCCUCAUGAGCCGGAUCAUGGGGGUUCGACUCCCCCUCCCGUAACCA
rnacentral:tRNA from 1 species